AGAGUUUGAUCAUGGCUCAGGACGAACGCUGGCGGCGUGCCUAAUACAUGCAAGUCGAACGAACUCUGGUAUUGAUUGGUGCUUGCAUCAUGAUUUACAUUUGAGUGAGUGGCGAACUGGUGAGUAACACGUGGGAAACCUGCCCAGAAGCGGGGGAUAACACCUGGAAACAGAUGCUAAUACCGCAUAACAACUUGGACCGCAUGGUCCGAGUUUGAAAGAUGGCUUCGGCUAUCACUUCUGGAUGGUCCCGCGGCGUAUUAGCUAGAUGGUGAGGUAACGGCUCACCAUGGCAAUGAUACGUAGCCGACCUGAGAGGGUAAUCGGCCACAUUGGGACUGAGACACGGCCCAAACUCCUACGGGAGGCAGCAGUAGGGAAUCUUCCACAAUGGACGAAAGUCUGAUGGAGCAACGCCGCGUGAGUGAAGAAGGGUUUCGGCUCGUAAAACUCUGUUGUUAAAGAAGAACAUAUCUGAGAGUAACUGUUCAGGUAUUGACGGUAUUUAACCAGAAAGCCACGGCUAACUACGUGCCAGCAGCCGCGGUAAUACGUAGGUGGCAAGCGUUGUCCGGAUUUAUUGGGCGUAAAGCGAGCGCAGGCGGUUUUUUAAGUCUGAUGUGAAAGCCUUCGGCUCAACCGAAGAAGUGCAUCGGAAACUGGGAAACUUGAGUGCAGAAGAGGACAGUGGAACUCCAUGUGUAGCGGUGAAAUGCGUAGAUAUAUGGAAGAACACCAGUGGCGAAGGCGGCUGUCUGGUCUGUAACUGACGCUGAGGCUCGAAAGUAUGGGUAGCAAACAGGAUUAGAUACCCUGGUAGUCCAUACCGUAAACGAUGAAUGCUAAGUGUUGGAGGGUUUCCGCCCUUCAGUGCUGCAGCUAACGCAUUAAGCAUUCCGCCUGGGGA
rnacentral:rRNA from 1 species